rnacentral:rRNA from 1 species
UACAGAGGGGGCAAGCGUUAUUCGGAAUUAUUGGGCGUAAAGGGCGCGUAGGCGGCCUGACAAGUGGAAGGUGAAAUCCCUCGGCUUAACCGAGGAACUGCCCUCCAAACUGUUUGGCUUGAGACCGGGAGAGGUGAGUGGAAUCCCAGUGUAGCGGUGAAAUGCGUAGAUAUUGGGAGGAACACCAGUGGCGAAGGCGGCUCACUGGACCGGUACUA